CGGCGAUGAUAUACCUUAUCCGCGCUUCUGAGUUUUCUCGAUGAAGCACAAUUGGUUAAAAUAUGGUUGAAUUUCUUGAUAUGAGCCA
rfam:Glycine max cultivar Williams 82 chromosome 15, whole genome shotgun sequence.